AAUGUUAGAAUUAUUAUUUUUUUUCUUAAUUUAUAGAUUUUAAUAAUAUAAAUAAAUUUAAUUUUUUGGGUUUAUGUAAAUUUUAAAGAAUAAAUGUUUUAAAUAAUAGUUUAAUAGUAUCGUUUUAGAAUUUUGAAAUAUUAUUAAAUUAAAUUAUUUGAAAGUAGAUUUGAUUUAUUUUACCUUGUGUAUCAGGGUUUUUUAAAUAAAAAAUAUUUAAUUAUUUUUCUCGAAUUUAAAAGAUCUAAUUAUUUAUAUUAUUUUUAAUGUAGCAAAAUUAUUUUAAAUUUAUAAUUAGAAGUGAAAUGUUAUCGUUUUUAAAGUUAUCUAGUUUUUUAAUAAAUAAAUUUAAUUUAUAUAUUAAAUUAUAAUAAUUAAUUAUUAAUUAAUUUAUUUUGUUUAAUAUUAAUAUUUUAAGGGAUAAGCUUUAGAAUAAAUUUUUAUAAUUUUUAUUUAGUGAAAAAUAAUUUAGACUUAAAAAUAGUUUUAAUUUUAUAAAUGUUAAAAUUUUAUUUUUUAUUUAAUGAUUUUUAGAUAAAUUUAAUUUUUUAUUAAAAUUUUUAAUUUAAUUUUUAAAUUAAAUUAAUUAUGAUAGAAUUAGUAAAUUUAUAUUAUUUAUAUUAUUUAAAUAAAUUUUAGGUUAAUUAAAGGAAUUCGGCAAAAUAAAUAUUAUUUAUAAAAUAUAGAUAUAUUCGCUUGUUUAACAAAAACAUCGUUUUUUGAAUUUAAUUUAAAAUUUGGUCUGCUCAAUGAAUUAAUUUUUAAAUAGCCGCAGUAAUUUGACUGUGCAAAGGUAGCAUAAUAAUUAGUCUUUUAAUUGAAGGCUGGCAUGAAUGAUUUGACGAAAUAUUAACUGUCUCUAAUUAAUUUUUUUUGAAUUUAAUUUUUAAGUAAGAAAGCUUAAAUUUUUUUAAAGGACGAGAAGACCCUAUAGAGUUUUAUAAUAAUUUUAUUUUUUAUUUAUUUUUAUUGAAAAUAAAAUUAUUAUUUUGGUUGGGGUGAUUGGAAUAUUAAUAUAACUUUUUUAAUUUUUUUUACAUUGAUGUUUGAUUUUUUGAUCCUUUAUUAUAGAUUAUUAGAUUAAAUUACCUUAGGGAUAACAGCGUAAUUUUUUUUAGAGUUCUUAUCGAAAAAAAAGAUUGCGACCUCGAUGUUGGAUUAAAAUUUAAAUUUGGUGCAGAAAUUAAAUAUUUUGGUCUGUUCGACCUUUAAAAUUUUACAUGAUCUGAGUUCAAACCGGUGUGAGCCAGGUUGGUUUCUAUCCUUAAAUGAUAUUUUAAAAAUUUUUAGUACGAAAGGAUUAAGAUUUUAAAUUAUAUUUAUUAUUUAUUGAUUAAAAUUAAAUUAAUUAAAAUAA
rnacentral:rRNA from 1 species